rnacentral:rRNA from 1 species
UAGAGUUUGAUCCUGGCUCAGAGCGAACGCUGGCGGUAUGCUUAACACAUGCAAGUCGAGCGAGAAAGUGGCUUCGGCCACGAGUACAGCGGCGGACGGGUGCGUAACACGUGGAUAAUCUGCCUUCAGGUCUGGGAUAACCCUGGGAAACUAGAGCUAAUACCGGAUAAGACCACAGGUUCCAUGGAACCAAGGGUAAAAGGCGGCCUUCGGGCUGUCUCCUGAAGAUGAGUCCGCGUCCCAUCAGGUUGUUGGUGAGGUAACGGCUCACCAAGCCGAAGACGGGUAGCCGACCUUAGCGGGUGAUCGGCCACACGGGGACUGAGACACGGCCCCGACUCCUACGGGAGGCAGCAGUGGGGAAUCUUGGGCAAUGGGCGAAACCCUGACCCACAAUACCG